UACGUAGGGUGCGAGCGUUAAUCGGAAUUACUGGGCGUAAAGCGUGCGCAGGCGGUUAUGUAAAGACAGAUGUGAAAUGCCCGGGCUUAACCUGGGAACCGCAUUUGUGACUGCAUGGCUAGAGUUUGGCAGAGGGGGGUAGAAUUCCACGUGUAGCAGUGAAAUGCGUAGAUAUGCGGAGGAACACCGAUGGCGAAGGCAAUCCCCAUGGGCCUGUACGU
rnacentral:rRNA from 1 species